AUCAUAAUCCCCAUCUCAGCUCUUUAUGCAGACCUCAUUGCUUGGUUUCAAGACCUUCCAUAUGAGGCAUCUGGCCUUCCUUGGGUUCCAGGCACACUGCAAUUCCUCAUAAAAGUUGGCUCUUGCUGGAGACAAUAUGUGGCCCUAACUGUUCUCCCAGAAAAUAAUAGCUCAGUAUGAGGUCUCUAGACACACAGAUUUAGAUUGAUACUCUACCAAGCUGCUUUCACUCAUUUCUUUAACCAGUGGUAUCUUAUCUUUCCCACUCCAGGAAAACCCUACUCAUGGCCUGAAGUGUUUCUUGGAACUGAAAAUCUAGCAUUUGCCUAUGUGGCUCUGGUUAGACAUGGUCACUUGCCAGUGCUCACCUCUCCAGUUGGCUGGUACCUGAGAGCAUCAUCUUAGUCUUGCCUGGGAGUCUGUGGCAUGCCUUAUCCAUCCACUCAUUUGCUGGAAUGGCUGGUAAGGUUUUAGAGAACACACUAACCUACAGAUGAUGAAACCAAACAAGGACCAUGGAACAGACCAAGCUCAAAGAACAGGUAUGGAAGUUUCUCUGUUGAGAAACCCUGAUGGAUGGCCAGUGGAUUUCUCCUGAAAUGCAGAAGCUGAAGCUGCUUCAUCAUAACUUGACCAGUUUUCCCUGCCUGUCCUGUUGUGCCAGCCAAGAGAGGGAGUCAGAGACCCAACAGGGCCAUCAUUGUUGUCUCAGGCAUGGAGAACAGAGAUACAUCUGGGAGGAGCAGACAGAUGAACUAUUGCUCUGGUACUUGGAGCUGAACACAUCCUAGUCCCUAGAGGCUUCGUUGUGGUUUCUGGUGCUGCACAUUCUCACUCUUCUACCUCUGGAUGCUGCGUUGUUUGAGAAUACCCUUCUUAGAAGGUCUGUACCCACAGCAUGAACUCCCUUCCCUGUUCUGAUCUGUCUCCACUUCAGUGUCUAAUACAACCUCACAUGUGCUAUGUCCAAAAUAGAACAAACCCCCCACACACCAAAAAAAAAAAAAAAAAAAAACCCAGUCUUCCUGCCUAAGUUAUGCAUUGCUCAACUUGGCUCUCCUCAUAAGCCCACAUCCAUCCUUUAUUUCCCAAGGCUCCAAAUUUUAAGUCCCCAAUUCCUCAGCCCCUCAGCCCCUCAGCCCCUCAGACCUAUACCAUUCCCUGAGUAGCUUAUCUGGCUUAGACUCUUUGAAGCCUCUCAGUGUUUUGCUGCCCUUCCCCCUACCCACUGGUAGCCAAAUGAUUACUUUAAAAAGAAGCCUAAGUCAUGCCCACUCUUCCUACAUUUCAUUUUUAAAAAAAAACCAUAGUCUUCAUCACAACAGAAAGGCUUUAGGGGGGGUUCCUGCUGACCCCUUGUCCUUCAGCACCCCUAAAUAAUGAACCUCUAUCCUGCUCACCCACUAGAAAGCUCUUCCUACAGGUCCAUGCAAGCCCAGCCUUGCAAAACGAAGGCACCCGGGAAAACAAGAUCACAUUCUGUCUUCCCACGUCCUUGAGAAGAAUGGUCAUCAACAAACAGCAGGAGCU
rnacentral:lncRNA from 1 species